GACGAACGCUGGCGGCGUGCUUAACACAUGCAAGUGGAGCGACGAACCAGGGCUUGCCCUGGGGCAGAGCCGCGAACGGGUGAGUAACACGUGGGUAACGUGCCCCGAUGACUGGGACAACCCGGGGAAACCCGGGCUAAUACCGGAUGUGCCCCCUCACAUCAGUGAGGUGUGUAAAGGAAGCUUCGGCCUCCGCAUCGGGAUCGGCCCGCGGCCCACUAGCUUGUUGGUGAGGUAACGGCUCACCAAGGCUGCGAUGGGUAGCUGGUCUGAGAGGACGAUCAGCCACACUGGGACUGAGACACGGCCCAGACUCCUACGGGAGGCAGCAGUGGGGAAUCUUGCGCAAUGCGCGAAAGCGUGACGCAGCAACGCCGCGUGGGGGAAGACGGCCUUCGGGUUGUAAACCCCUUUCAGUUGGGACGAAGGUCGGGCGGUUAACAGCCGUUCCGGCUGACGGUACCUUCACAAGAAGCCCCGGCUAACUACGUG
rnacentral:rRNA from 1 species